rnacentral:rRNA from 1 species
AUGUGGUGUCUGACAACCGUGAUUACUUCCACUUGCCUGCGGUGGCGUGCGGUACGGCAUUGCCCCGGCGUUGGUCCGGACGAACGCGUUCGAUGUUCAGUGGUCUGGGCGUAGUGCGGCUGCGUGAAUCCGCGCUGGCGGNUGUGGUUUCGGCGUUAGAGGUGGCAUGACGUGUCAAUGAUCAUGGUGAUAUCAGUCGAACCAAUGUGGGUCGUUUGCGGCUUCGCGGGCGGUCCGAUGGACGGCAGGGCUGGUUUGCUUCGGUGAUCCUGGGGCGAGUUGGCCAAAUUGAUGUCGUCUGGCUGUCGCUGCCGCCAGCACCAAAUGCGGGGCUCCUUUACGUGGCCGGUCGGCCUGGCAUGCAUCCCCUUCGCCUGUUGCACACAUUUGCANUGCGGGUGGGCUGAGAGGCUUUUCUCGGUCCGGGCAGUUGAUUUGCCUGAAGGGGUCUGUAGGCUACACGGGUCCGAGUGCGGUAUGACUGGUCGACUUAGGGGCUCCGAACGUCGAACUGAUGUGGGCAAAUGGAGACUCGCC